rnacentral:lncRNA from 1 species
UUGACUUAUUUCCUUUUUUAUGGAUAAAUCAACAGCCUUCAUGCGACAACUGCACUAAAAAUCAUUUGACUUAGCUUGGCGUUCAAAUGCUGAGCGGAUUUAUUAAUCUCUUUCAAUCUUUUCAGGAAAAUACACGAAAAUCAAGCUCAAAAAUGGGAUUUGGAUAUCAGACAUUAUAGGAGAGGACAGGCUUCAUUUCCGGCGGUGCACGGAACUUUUGGAGAAACGUAAACCAAGAGACCGAACUGCAGUUAAACUGCAAUAUAUUGGAUUGUGUCCAGUGUAGACUGCACCGGACAUUGGGUCGUUGGCGAUGGCUUGGCAGCCCUACAGGCGAACCUGCAGCCCAUUUUUGCUGAUUCUAUGGAUUUUCACCCUCUUCAAUAAUGUGAAAGGAGGUCCAAGCGAUUCAAUUGUCACGAAGGCUCGAUGUUACGCAAACUGCCUCACUGAGGUAAACUUGCCUUUCAAUAUACUUUCUCAAGAAGUCGUAACGUACUCUUACUAACUUAUAGGUCUAAAUCAUUCUAAUCAAGCAACAAACAUUUCGUGAAUAUUCAAGUUUCAGAUGGAGAAUUUUCUAAAGCUUCUUAAAAGUUCUUAAUUGUUUUUAAUUUAUAGGCGACUUUCGAAAGGUCCCAUAUUAUUGAUACCUCUGAUAAAUGAAUGCUACAGAUUACAGACUACCGUAUGAUCUCAAGUCUUUUCAAACUCGCGCAACAAAAACUAAAUCAUAUGGAUAUACAACAACCAUGUUUGAGCUAGCAAACCAAGUCUUAUUUCCUCAGCAGGUUUUCACCCGGCUAAAUAAUCAAAUAAGCCGGGCAAAUAUGCGGUAUCCGCAACAUAUGACGUAUACAGGCAGAAUAACACCCGGGAACAUAUUUUCUUCCCUUGACGAACUAAACGUUUAUGAAUUAAGUCUUCUGAGUUGUAAUGAAAAUGGAUUUGAUGUUACCAUUUCGGUUAAAACUUAAUCAUUCUAGAAUUUGGCUGAAACGUUUAUGAUUAAUAUUGGUAUUGUGCUUUUAAAGAUUAGUAUUGGCUGAUGAAAUUCACAGUGACCACGAAUUUGCAAUAUCUUUUUCUUCUUUCCGCUGAAACAUGAGUCCAAGCUACGACAGGUCUCGUUUAUUUCUGCCGGAAAAAAAGUCCUUGUUUUAAUUUUCUUUAGGUGUCAAAUUAACGAUAAUUACUUACGUUUAUUGAAAGCCGGAUUAAGCAUUGUGUUUAACGUGGUGUAAUUGCAGCGCUUCAUUCUUAUAAAUCAAGAAGCGGAUAUCAAGAAAUGAUUAUCACUCAAUAGAAGCAGUUUACGUACAUUUUUUUUGCGUGUACGAACUGAAAAGUCAAAGAAAAUACGACCUUCUUGUAAAAUUUGCUGAAUUAAGCAUUAAUGGCAAAGUCAGUUUUCAUUUACUUGAAUACUUUCAUGACAAAUUUUGAAAUGAAAUCGUUUUUAACUCUCCUACAUUCAUUUAAAAAAAAAUCUAUCUAAGUUCUUUAAUUUUGGGUAGUUUUAUUGAAAUCAUUUAUUGGGCUUAACGAAUAUUUGCAUUUUUGGCAAGAAUCGCCUUAAGUUACGCCGCUCUAUUACAAAUACGGUACAUUUCGUUUGAACAAGGUGGUUAGCUUCUGCAGCUUGAAUAAAUAAAUGGAUUAAUAACUAAAUUUUAGACACCGAUUGCUUAAAUACAAGAGUUCACGAACGACCAACUGGGUAAUUUUCACAUGAUAAUCUACAAUAAAUGGGUCAAAAUGAAAUUAAGUUUUAGGAUGUCACUUAAUGAGUUUGCCACAAAAGUAAACGUUC